UGUGUAAAAAGACCACCUUCGGCUUGUCCUAGUGGUGAGCGUGGAAGUGUGUGAGUGUGCAUAGAGAAAAAAAAAAUUCGAGUGAGUGUGCAUCGAGAACUUAUAAGACUUUGUUUUUGCAUCGAGAGCGACGUGAGGGAAAAGUACAAGAAGGCAGGGGAGCGAGGUGGUUUUUAGGUUUUAACGAAGGUGAGCUCGAGUUCUAAGGGUUGUUGUGGAGUUAAGGGGAGAACUAAGGAACGGCACUGGAACGAGCAGGAGUGGACGUGCGUGGCGACGUCGAGCCGAGUGACCACGCCGGUGCCCCACUCGGAUCAAACCGAGUGACAUGCGGAGGAGCUAGAGAGUCCGGCCAGUUGUCGCUGCCUCCCCAUCAUCCCGAACUACUCUUCGACGCGGUACCUCCUACGCUCGAACGGCUAGAACUGACACAGCAGGAGCAAUCGCAGGAACCUCCCCUACACCCGCACCUAGAGCAGAGGGCCUCGGUCGAACCUAGGUGUAGCUAACACUCCUACGACCGCCGCAACAAAAGGGAGCGUAGCACCAACAGGGGCCGUUCCGUCGGGCCAUCCAGCAGAAGUAGGAGCUGUCACCGUCGGACUUAAGUCGCUGAGCAAGAAGGUGGAUCUCCAGGGGUGAAGAGGGAAAAGGAUAGAAAAAGAACAAAGAAUAGGACAGAGACGUACACAUACCGAUUUGGUUAUAUUACACGUAAUUCGAUGUCGAACCAUCACUUUUCUACAUUUAAAUAAGUACGGGGGAGGUGGAAAAAGACACGAACCCUGAACGCAGCCGUCUCCGGGGAGACGGGAGCAAGUCUAAGUUGUUUAAAUUAUUCAUUAAUCAAAUAAACACUAAUCGAUAUCGAAAUUCUAAAGGGUUUCUAACUUAAUUAAAAUUAUUCACUAUACUUUUAUCCACGAUAAUGUAAAACGUAUAAUUGACAUUGCUAGACACCUAUGACAGUGAUAACAUAACGUCUUAUACUAUUCGAAUUUAUAGACUAUUAUAUAUCACAGCUGUUUAAUAUUAUAACUCAAUAAAGGUAACUUACAACUACGUACAAAGUUUAUGAAGACCCUCAUCAUCUAAUAUAGACAGGACGGUAUAGUACAAUAAUCGUAUCUUUUCAGUCAAAACGAGGUACAUGAAUACCAAUAGAUAUUUCCGAUCAUCGUAGACAUUCACACACAAAUCAAGGAUGGAAUUCUUAUAAAAACACAUCUGAUACAAGAACUGGUGUAGUAGGAACAACAAUCAAGUAAACGAUAUAUUUUCUUUUAUUGUCCACACUAGUUCAGUUAUCCUAUAAUGAACGUUCACAAAAAAGAUCCAUAAGGGAAAGAGAAUACAAAGAGUACUUGAGGAACUCGAAAUACACCUUGUGAGCCAGUUGUUAUAGUCUGGAAAGAGGAGCGUUUUUUUUUUUUUUUCCUUUUGGUUGUUAUAUUCUAGAAAGACGACGACGAACCGGAUGAAGGACAUCGUAUCUAUCUAACUUAGAGGCCGGUUCAACGCAACGUACACUCACAGUGUUUAUCCAGACACAUAGGUUCGCUGACUGUAUAAAUGUAUCGAAGAACCAUCAAAACACGAAACAUAGAACCCGAUAGACAGUUCGACCUACCGUGUACCGUCAACAUAAGAGGAAGUAUGGACCAGUUGGUAACAUAAAGAUAACGCAGAACGUUCAGUCGUAUGUUAAGCAAGAAUCCAAAUGAACUACAGAAAGCUAGGUCAGAUAAACAUUUCGUUUUAUAUACGUUCCCGUUACUUGACGUUAAAUCCGAAAAGUAUGUGGUCGUUCACAAAGCUGUCCAAUCAUACAACAACAUAUACUAAGAGUAUCAUAAGGUUGUAACAAUAUAGGAAAGAGAAGGUGAAACGUGGAAGAAAAUUUCACAUUACACAUAAAAGAGAGAUGGGUAGAAGAGGCAUCCCCUUAUUAUUAUAUAUGACGUAUCGGUACUUAAAACUUACCAAGAGACUAUAAGAAACCAGAGUACAGACACAUGACUUGUUACUAUAGAGUAGGAAAAGAUAAGACACAACAUAGUAAGUGUUAGUUCCGACGUUGAAGUCAACGUCUACCGUACAGUACAGCAGAAUUAGAGUGCAACACUAUCUGUGGAAAAGUUCAAAUAGGAAACGGUAAUACUCACAAAAUCGAUCGUGUACUAUACCAAGGGACACCGUUAAGUUGUUACGACUAAAACAGCGACAGAACCAAUUCGGUAUGAUGUACCUUUAAACAAGAGUACAACAAAACUGUUUCUUUAUUAACUAUCGAUGCCAGUCCUGCUUUACAUCGUACAGAAAUAAAUAAAUUAUGUGGUGAAAUUUAAUCAACGUCUAGUAUACCUUGACGUAUCCGCCUGCCCGAACUAUUGGUAAACACCUACCAUUUGAGACAUUCUAGUCUAUAAACAUGUAGUUUAUGUGACCCAAUAACUUCUUUGAAAACAUUCGGACCUUUCUUACCUUCUGUAUCUAUUGUGUUAACAACGAGUUUCGUCUUCGUUAGAUAUCAUAACAAAGGUCAUGUGGAAUGAUGUCAGUACGUAGUACAUUCUCUUCAAAUCGUCAACUUAAGUUUCUUCAUUCAUUUCUAUCACCUACUAUUAUGUGAAUUUCUUUAUUCAAACAUGUUAAAAGAAGCGAGUGCACCAAGUCUCUAAGAAUAAAACCGUAUCAACACGUCAGACCGUGUAGAGGUAGAUACUAGCUUACAAAAGAGUAAAAGAACAGAACUUCAAAGUAAGAGGAGAGGAUUGAACAGUAACAAAUAACUGACCUGAGUGUAGUCAUUCUUUAAUAAACUUUAUAAAAGGACCAGGUUCGAAUUUGGUGGUUGGGUGCACACGGAUGAACUUAGUCUUUAGGUUCGAUUUAGAAAAAGAAUAUUAUGGUGGAUAAUUUCUAAGUACCAAUCAUUACCUAGUUGAACAACAUAACGUAUAAACCAUGAAAAUUGGUGGAACCUUCAAAAGAUUGUAAAAACGAUACACCGGGUGGAAAAUAAAGGAAACCAAGAAGGACGUGUUACCUCUUCUACUCUAUAACAUUUUAGCGACACAUCAUGACGAGUUCCAAUGCUUCUAAAUACUAAAACUAUAAAAAAGACGAAUGUUUUAAAGCAGAAGCAUCCUCUAGUUGAAGGUUCUGGUCACCUACAAUUCAAGGUUAGAAGUAAACUUUUGUGUUUAUAAUACCAUGAACGGCCUCCACCAGACGAACGAGCUACCUCGGCUACCGUGUUAGUUCCUCUAAACCUGUGAGCGAACACUCUCAAUGAAAAAAAUCCCUUUAGGUAAUACUGCCACAUAUAACUAGACGUUAUUAUCGAUGUAGUCGGUUUUCCUGCCGUUCAAUUUUUCGACCUCCAACGAACAGUACCUAUACUCAGGUUGGAUAACACUCAAAACAAAAACCCUGGCACUCUAACUAACAUUCUAACCACAUUUCUUGUACUGUACCUACCAUUUUAACUAGCACUCUAAUCACAGAAGUACCCUAUACCCCUUUUUUGUUUCCCGUACAUACCGAACCUACAAGUUCUCUUCAUUAGUUG
rnacentral:rRNA from 1 species